CACGUAGGGCGCAAGCGUUGUCCGGAAUUAUUGGGCGUAAAGAGCUCGUAGGCGGCUUGUCGCGUCGUCUGUGAAAUCCCGCGGCUCAACUGCGGGCUGGCAGUCGAUACGGGCAGGCUGGAGUUCGGUAGGGGAGACUGGAAUUCCUGGUGUAGCGGUGAAAUGCGCAGAUAUCAGGAGGAACACCGGUGGCGAAGGCGGGUCUCUGGGCCGAUACUGACGCUGAGGAGCGAAAGCGUGGGGAGCGAACAGG
rnacentral:rRNA from 1 species